CCAACGCCAAAGAGCUUACUAUUUAUCUCAACCUGACAAAGGAUGACUAGGGUAAGAGGCAGGGAUGAAGCAGUAUUUUUGAUUUAUUCAGAAGUUUAUGUAGAAAUUGGGUUUUCCAAAUGUCAUAAACACAUGAGCACAUUCAAGGAUCCUCUGGAAUAGAAGAUGUUUUGAGGCUUUAAAUAUUUCACUUGUCCUUUCAUUCAGGUAAUAUACCAUGGCACCAUGUGAAUGUACCAUGAUACUCCUUUUCUUCUUUUAAUAGAUGUCAUAACACAGAGAGAAAUAUUAGACUCAAGCAAGCCCUAUGGUUUUGAUUGUGGUUAGUCUGACGGUUCUGGUUUGGUUUAAGUGGAAGCUGAUGAACAAUGGUUUAAAAGGAGAAAAGGAAAACAGCUCCAGCACUGAGAACGUGGCCAAGCAUCACCUCACAGCCUUAUGUGAUCACUGCAUCCCUACUCCUUGGCAGACUUAUUUUUUGAAAGCACAACCUUGCAGAGCAGAGAUCUCCACUGUUGUCUGAACAGACACACGGACACCAGAUCACCAAGAAGGCAACCAAAAAUUUUCAAAAGAAAUGAAGACAAAUGCUGUGCAAGAGCUCCUUAACACUGACAUGAAAGCUGCCAGAGAGACAAACUAUCUUGAAAUCAUAAAAUAACUUUUCUUAUCAGACACCACCGCACAGAGCCUGUUUGAAUUUUGUAUGGCUGUAAUGCUGACAGUUUCCACAACUGAUCAUCUGUGGAUGCAACUCUCAGAUUUCAUCAGAAGGACCUUUCUGACUGAGCCUCUGCAUUCUGUGAAGUGAGAGACACAGUGCACCUAGAUAUGCCCUUCCUCAGGAGUGUUCUUGGGACAACGCCGAAUAACUUCAGUCAGCCCUGCCAUACCCUGAAGAUCCUGACUCCCUUUUUUUCAGUCCAAGCGGCCAGUCCACCCUUUAUGCCCCAGCAGGCAGUGAACUGGAGCAGCUAUAAAAGUGUUUUACUCCUUGUCAUGGAUUAGCCCAGUCCCCAGCUGAAAGAAAGCACGUCAACAUCGGUUAGAAGCAGCUUUCUAAUUUCAUGAAUCAUACCAGCACAGGUCAGAGAAAACUAAGGCCCUCCUAAUUUUCAGGGAGUUAGAUUUAAUUUUUUAGAUAGAUAGAUAGAUAGAUACACAUUAUAGGUAAACUCACUGCUGCAUCUGCUUUUGGGUCAAAACCUAGCGGGUGACCAAUGCAGCCUAUGGAGGAAAUAGGGACUGUGUCCUGUGACUGAGAACAUGAAGGGCUCUAUGGACAGGUGUAGCAGCUGGGAUCUAGCCGGGACACCCAUUAACACCUGCUGCCACGGCAAGUGCUGUUUGGUCUCUAAUGACUGUAAGUGGCCAAAGGCUGUUGCAGUCACACAUCCCCUCUGGACAGGUAUCACCUCCAGCCCCUUCAGUGCCUAUGAACAGUGUGUGGUAGAGCCCUAUUCAGUGGAGACAGGCACAGAGAUUACAGUGGCACCUGCUACAUCACUGUGAACGUAUUUCCUGCAAGACCUUUAUUUUCGCAGCCGUGUACUUAUCAAGCAACUUAGUUUUUGAAAGCUGGCGGGGUGGUACAGCUGGUAAAUUCUGCACGAUGUGGUGAUGUGGAAAGUGUUCUGCAGAGAAGCUACAAAAAGCUUGAAAAAGUAAACGUGUUAUUGCCAAUCUGUUUUCUGCCUGGAUGACAUCAGUGGAAGUUAUGCCUAAAUACACUGGACAGCCUAUGCCCUUGUAACUGCUUUCCUGCACAGAUAUGUUUAAUUUUCCAAUCUUGUAUUUCUGUAAGAUGGUGUGAAGCCAUGAAGCAUAAAACCUACUGCUUGA